AUUGAACGCUGGCGGCAGGCUUAACACAUGCAAGUCGAACGAGUGGCUGACGGGUGAGUAAUGUUUUGGAAUCUAGCUUAUGGAUGGGGUUAACUACGGGCAACUGUAGCUCAUACCGCUUUCCAUAUGAUGAGCCCAAGUGGGAUUAGCUAGUUGGUGAGGUAAAGGCUCACCACGCCGACGAUCUCUAGCUGGUCUAAGAGGAUGACCAGCCACACGGGGACUGAGACACGGCCCAGACUCCUACGGGAGGCAGCAGUGGGGAAAAUUGGGCAAUGGGGGCAACCUAGCGCAGCAGUGCCGCGUGAAUGAAGAAGGCCAUCGGGUUGUAAAGUUCUUUCGGUAGCGAGGCGUUAACUACAGAAGAAGCACCGGCUAACUCCGUGCCAGCAGCCGCGGUAAUUC
rnacentral:rRNA from 1 species